rnacentral:lncRNA from 1 species
GAUUUGCUGAACCCUUAACAAGUUUCAGCCAGAGAAAACCAUUUGUGAAUUCCUAGAAGAUUAUUAUGGUACUCAAUUUUCCUCUUCCCCUAAAACCAGAACACAAUGUCCUAUGACAGUAACCCAGAAAUAAAAGAGAAGAAACAGAAAUCCAACCCUUUCUGGAAGAAUAAUCCUGUGAGAUUUAGUGAAGAUAAGAUGUGUGUUAGAAUCCAGCUCUUCAGGUAUGGCUUGGUUGAUUCACUUCCUAAUUGAUUUAUGAGGAAGACAUUUUUUGUUGCUGUUGCCAUAACUAGAAACUGUGCUGUUGUUUCCUGGAACUCAGUUUGUAUGGGCAAAGGCUUAAGUGAAUGGUCUAUAUAGGCCCUCGGCAGUCCAAGGACCUAUUGGUUUAGUCUCCUCUUUGUUCUCCUAUCAUAGAGAGUUGUUUUUGGUAUUAAAGAGCAACUGUGGCUUGGUCUCAGUGUGGAGGCCAGUUUCUCCUGGUUCUGGGAAAUCAUCAUCAAUAACAACGAAAACCUCAUGCAUCUGCUUGUUGUGUGAGCAGAAUUUCCUGUGGUGUGUUCUGCUCCUUGGAUCUCAUUAGAUGUUUCUCUACGUAAGUAUUCCUUGGCCAAUGAAGUUUGAAUAUUUUGAAGUUAAGAAAAUUUAAUCUAUUAUUCCUUUACUCCAAUUUUCUCCGAUUCUUUAUAAGCUCAUGUGUAUUAUGAAUCUCCUAGAAGACAUAUAUAACACAAAGCAUUUCUCCAAAGUUUGAUUACUGAUGCCCUUUUUGCCAAACAUUUUGAGAGACCAGUGUCCCAAAGACCAUGACUUUGGGAAGUCCUCUGUUACUUCAACCUGAGUGCUAAAACCAACUUCUCCUGGCAGACGUCUAGUCCCCAGAAAACCUACAAAUUAAGGUUUUAAUAAAAAAAUGUGUUAAGUAGUAGAUACAGUCCAAGGAUCCACCUCGUGACAAAUUAGGUACAUAUUUAAGCCUAUGUGUCUUUGGAUCAUGUUCCUUUAUAAAGCAUCUAUAUUGGCUGGGUACAGUGGCUCAGGCCUGUAAACCCAGCACUUUGGGAGGCAAAGGUUUUGCCUCCCAUGGGCAGAUCAGGAGGUCAGGAGAUCAAGACCAUCCUGGCCAACAUGGUAAAACCCUGUAGGUUCUUUUGAAACUUUGUUAAUUAUGAGACUCUUUAACCUGGGUUAGUUUUUCCUUGCCUCUUCUUUCUCAC